rnacentral:rRNA from 1 species
AUUGAACGCUGGCGGCAUGCUUUACACAUGCAAGUCGAACGGUAACAGGCCGCAAGGUGCUGACGAGUGGCGAACGGGUGAGUAAUGCAUCGGAACGUGCCCAGUCGUGGGGGAUAACGCAGCGAAAGCUGUGCUAAUACCGCAUACGAUCUAUGGAUGAAAGCGGGGGACCGUAAGGCCUCGCGCGAUUGGAGCGGCCGAUGUCAGCUUAGGUAGUUGGUGGGGUAAAGGCUCACCAAGCCAACGAUCUGUAGCUGGUCUGAGAGGAAGACCAGGCACACGGGAGCUGAGACACGGCACAGACUCCUGCGGGAGGCAGCAGUGGGGAAUUUGGGACAAGGGGAGCAAGCCUGAUCCAGCAAUGCCGCGUGCAGGAAGAAGGCCUUCGGGUUGUAAACUGCUUUUGUACGGAACGAAAAGGUUUGGGUUAAUACCCUGGGCCGAUGACGGUACCGUAAGAAUAAGCACCGGCUGACUACGUGCCAGCCGCCGCCGUAAUAC